rnacentral:tRNA from 1 species
GCUCUGUUGGUAGAGCAUGGUGUUUGCAACGCCAGGGUUGUGGGUUCGAUUCCCAC